AUUGAACGCUGGCGGCAGGCUUAACACAUGCAAGUCGAGCGGAGAUGAGGUGCUUGCACCUUAUCUUAGCGGCGGACGGGUGAGUAAUGCUUAGGAAUCUGCCUAUUAGUGGGGGACAACAUUCCGAAAGGAAUGCUAAUACCGCAUACGUCCUACGGGAGAAAGCAGGGGAUCUUCGGACCUUGCGCUAAUAGAUGAGCCUAAGUCGGAUUAGCUAGUUGGUGGGGUAAGGGCCUACCAAGGCGACGAUCUGUAGCGGGUCUGAGAGGAUGAGCCGCCACACUGGGACUGGGACACGGCCCAGACUCCGACGGGAGGCAGCAGUGGGGAAUAUUGGACAAUGGGGGAACCCUGAUCCAGCCAUGCCGCGUGUGUGAAGAAGGCCUUAUGGUUGUAAAGCACUUUAAGCGAGGAGGAGGCUACUGAGACUAAUACUCUUGGAUAGUGGACGUUACUCGCAGAAUAAGCACCGGCUAACUCUGUGCCAGCCGCCGCAGUAAUAC
rnacentral:rRNA from 1 species